rnacentral:lncRNA from 1 species
AUGAUGAUGGAUACAUUAUUUUUCCAGGAGAUUCAUCCCACUCAGUCUUUGGAGGACAAGGCUUUCGUGUGCUCCCGUCUUAUGUGGGUCUGGCUUCAGGACAGCACAGUGUCCAGGAUUGAGAAGGAACUCAAGACCAGGAUGGAGGACUUGGGGUUGAUGAAGGAUAUCUGGACCAUGCCAUUUGGCCUUCAAGCAAGAUCAUCCCUCCAUGUUGGUGUCGCUCAAGGUUUCCGGUCAUCAUUACAUGCACUUCCCCUCCUCGUCUCCAAUGUAGCCCCUUCAGGACACUUGGUAGGCUGCCUCAGGCUUACUAAAUACAAGCUCCUUAGGAGAAAGGAUGCCAUCUAUCUCGUUCACCAUUGUUCUCACUGUGUAGAAUAAUACCUGAAAU